UACGUAGGGCGCAAGCGUUGUCCGGAAUUAUUGGGCGUAAAGAGCUCGUAGGCGGCCUGUCGCGUCUGCUGUGAAAUCCCGGGGCUUAACCCCGGGCGUGCAGUGGAUACGGGCUGGCUGGAGGCAGGCAGGGGAGAAUGGAAUUCCCGGUGUAGCGGUGAAAUGCGCAGAUAUCGGGAGGAACACCGGUGGCGAAGGCGGUUCUCUGGGCCUGUUCUUGACGCUGAGGCGCGAAAGCUAGGGGAGCAAACGGG
rnacentral:rRNA from 1 species